rnacentral:rRNA from 1 species
UACGGAGGGUGCGAGCGUUGUCCGGAAUCACUGGGCGUAAAGGGCGCGUAGGCGGCAUGCCAAGCGUGUGGUGAAAGCCCGGGGCUCAACCCCGGGUCGGCCGUGCGGACUGGCAUGCUCGAGCACUGUAGGGGCGGGUGGAAUUCCGGGUGUAGCGGUGGAAUGCGUAGAGAUCCGGAAGAACACCGGUGGCGAAGGCGGCCUGCUGGGCAGUUUAGCUGACACUGAGGCGCGACAGCGUGGGGGAGCAAACAGG